GCUAAAUUCGAACCCAGUAUAAAUAGCGGGGACGUGCGCAGCGAGCACUGUGGUUGUAAGAGACAGAAAAUCUUAAUACCAGUUUUUUUAUUAAAUCAAGAAUGAGCAAUAAAGGCUUACAGGCAAAGGGCCAUCCCAAUCAGCAACUUCCAGUCACACCAAGCAUAACCAAACGGAAACAAGCACAGCAAAGGAAUACAUUCAGCAGUCCAACUGACAGCAUGAUGUCCCCAUGUUCUUUAAAAUUGCUGAAGUCAAGAAUUCAGAAUGAUUCAAGGGAUCAAAGUAUGAACAAGAAGCAGUUUCUAAAGUCUGAUAUGGAUGACAAAGAGAAUGACCUGUCCUAGAGAGUUCUUCUACAGACUGUCCCAAUGUUUCUUUUAUGUAUAAUCCUUAUUCUGGGUUGCAAAAGGAGUUUAUUUUUAAUAUUUAUGUAUUGUCUGGAAAAUGGCAAAGUUGCACAGGGAAUGAUCCAAUGUUAAGUUACAAAUAACUUUGCUCUUCCCCAGGUUAACAAAAGAUGUUAAAUGUUGGUUAAACCAUAUAGUAAUUUAUUAUCUUGGUCUGUACACGCUAACUAAUUUUAUGUAAAUAAAUGAUUAAACUGA